rnacentral:rRNA from 1 species
UCCGGUUGAUCCUGGCGGAGGUUACUGCUAUCGGUGUUCGCCUAAGCCAUGCGAGUCAUAUGUAGCAAUACAUGGCGUACUGCUCAGUAACACGUGGAUAACCUGCCCUUGGGACCGGCAUAACCCCGGGAAACUGGGGAUAAUUCCGGAUAACGCAUAUUUGCUGGAAUGCUUUAUGCGUCAAAAGGAUUCGUCUGCCCAAGGAUGGGUCUGCGGCCUAUCAGGUAGUAGUGGGUGUAAUGUACUACUAGCCAGCGACGGGUACGGGUUGUGAGAGCAAGAGCCCGGAGAUGGAUUCUGAGACAUGAAUCCAGGCCAUACGGGGCGCAGCAGGCGCGAAAACUUUACAAUGCGGGAAACCGUGAUAAGGGGACACCGAGUGCCAGCAUCAUAUGCUGGCUGUCCGGAUGUGUAAAAUACAUCCGUUAGCAAGGGCCGGGCAAGACCGGUGCCAGCCGCCGCGGUAACACCGGCGGCCCGAGUGGUGAUCGUGAUUAUUGGGUCUAAAGGGUCCGUAGCCGGUUUGGUCAGUCCUCCGGGAAAUCUGAUAGCUCAACUAUUAGGCUUUCGGGGGAUACUGCCAGACUUGGAACCGGGAGAGGUAAGAGGUACUACAGGGGUAGGAGUGAAAUCUUGUAAUCCCUGUGGGACCACCUGUGGCGAAGGCGUCUUACCAGAACGGGUUCGACGGUGAGGGACGAAAGCUGGGGGCACGAACCGGAUUAGAUACCCGGGUAGUCCCAGCCGUAAACGAUGCUCGCUAGGUGUCAGGCAUGGCGCGACCGUGUCUGGUGCCGCAGGGAAGCCGUGAAGCGAGCCACCUGGGAAGUACGGCCGCAAGGCUGAAACUUAAAGGAAUUGGCGGGGGAGCACAACAACGGGUGGAGCCUGCGGUUUAAUUGGACUCAACGCCAGACAACUCACCGGGGGCGACAGCAAUAUGUAGGCCAAGCUGAAGACUUUGCCUGAAUCGCUGAGAGGAGGUGCAUGGCCGUCGCCAGUUCGUACUGUGAAGCAUCCUGUUAAGUCAGGCAACGAGCGAGACCCA